UUGAAGGAUGCUACGUCACAGCGCCGCGACGAAAGCUGUCCAAAUUCGUAGGAUCCUUCAAAUGCGGCCCACAAAUACGUCCUCCUUUUCCCCGAAUUGGAAGGAUGGGUGUGGUGGAUCCUUUCCCGUCCUACCUAUCCCAUAAUUCUUUUCGGCAGAGCGUAAUGGCGGAUGAAGCGAGCGGUAGCGGAGUGGGAGAGGAGUAUGCUUUUCGAUGUAAGUUUUUUAAAAACUGGCUUUUCAAAAAAAUAUAUUUUUUCAGUGGUUGUCUAGUUAGGCAUUUUGUUUUAGCGUUAAGCAUUUUUUUUUUUACAUUUGUACGUUUAUAUGUAAAAAAAAAAAAAACAUUACUUUUUGUAAACUAGCUUCUUCCUUACUGCCUGUGUGAAUAUCCCCUUACACACAGCUAAUUUGUUAGUGAUUGAAGCUGUUUUUAACGCUUCUAGGGAUGAAAGAGCAGACAGAAGUGUUUAUAAAGCUCCGGGCAGAGAACGAUGAGCUCUUCACCGGAGCAAAGAACUCUGCCACUGUGGGAUGGAGGAUAGUUUUGGAGAAGAUGGGCCUGUCUGGUAAAGUGACACCAGCCCAAGCAAAGAAAAAGAAUGCAAGUAUCCAGGGUCAGGAGAGGGAGUGAGUGGGAAGCCCACUGCUGCUACUUGGCCCUGGUUUGUCCAAAUGGAUGAGGUUUUAGGACAAAGGCCUUCAAUUUGCCCCCCUGUCCUUAUUGCCUCCAUCCCUAUGGACACUCCAGGGCCAAGUGCAGCAGUGAGUGACCAAGAGGAGAGAGAGGAAGAAGAGA